rnacentral:tRNA from 1 species
GGUGGCACAGCGGUUAAGCUCUCGGCUGCCAACCGAAAGGUUGGUGGUUCAAACCCACCUGCCUUUC